GACAGAGGGUGCAAACGUUGCUCGGAAUCACUGGGCGUAAAGGGCGUGUAGGCGGGACGGUAAGUCGGGCGUGAAAUCCCUAGGCUCAACCUAGGAACUGCACUCGAAACUACCAUUCUUGAGUGUCGGAGAGGAAAGCGGAAUUCCUGGUGUAGGGGUGAAAUUCGUAGAUAUCAGGAGGAACACCAGUGGCGAAGGCGGCUUUCUGGACGAUAACUGACGCUGAGACGCGAAAGCGUGGGGAGCAAACAGG
rnacentral:rRNA from 1 species